UAACAUGCGCCACAGCCGCCGCGCGGCUCCUCUCGCUGGCAACAGUCCCCGACGAGUCUAGUCUCUUAUUCCUCCAGCAAGCACGGCUCUCACUUACUGUCGACCUUCAAUCAGCAGGAAAUUAGCUGCUAGUGAGUGAGUGCUGCGCGCAGUGCGUAUGCAUCUCGCUGGGACGGCUGCCUUGGACUUGUAAUAGUUUACAAAUAUAUUUCCGCAAGUGAGAGAUUCUGCUACGUCUUAUUCCGGUUACGCAAAUGUUAGGCAGGCCUACUUAGUCGUCUACAGAUGUACUACAUGCCUGUUAGUACAAUGGCCCACAGUCUCACAUGACUGCCUUUUGAUUGCCUUUUUUCUUAACGAAAUUUUCUCUCUUUUUAAUUAACAACAAAAAUCAGCACCUCUCAAGGGUGCGAGUCGGACUAGCGGCACUGGGGUAUCCGUACAAAUAUAAUACCAGCCAUACAGGGAAGAUCGAAUUUAAAAAAAAUAUGGACUGGGUAGAAAUUUUAUGAUCCUGCCAACCGUAUUGUUUAACCUCGAUUUUUAUUUCUUGUUUUUGUUUCAGCGGGAACCGAAACAAAUCAUAUGUGAAGAUUUUAACUGGAGGCGGCGUGACUGAUAGCUAGACAGAAGGCAGAUAAUGCUGUCAUGAGUUUAACCUGUCGUUCUGUUUUAACCCUUUAAGAAUAUUUUAUUUAAAAAGUUUUCGAUAUUGUGAAGCAAUAUUUAGGUUAAAUUGAUGUCUGUGAGCAGAGCUCUUCUGAUGGUCUGCGACGACGGAGGCGCGGGCGAGACGCGGGCGAGGCGCGGUACGACCCACCCGUCUCAGACUUCAAGAAUUCUAAUGAUGCCUAGGGAAUGUGUUAAACGCACUGGGAUUUAUGUAUUACAUAUUUUAACUAUCGCUUAAAUGCCCACCUGUAACUUUAUUAUAUAAUAUACAUGUAGUUUAAACUGUCCAAGAUGUGCUAUAAACUGUUAUGUUUUCGCUAAGUAAAAGUCACCUUUAUUAUUAAUAAAACAAUGCUUAGUUUAUUGAUGCUGUGAAAAUAUUUCUUUAAGUUCUUAAAGAAAUAUUUUUUAGUAAAUAUGUCCAAUUUAGAAAAAGAACCUACACUAUCGAUUGAUAGAAAACCCAUGACAUGCCGCAAGUAGGUGAACACAUGUUUGUAUUACUCUUGUGGAAAUAAAUGAAAUACGAUUGCCUAAA